rnacentral:lncRNA from 1 species
UGAGGAGAUAAGUGACAUAAACUGGCAUGUUCUGAAAGAAUCACUCUGGAUGCUGUGUGGAGAAAACACUGAAAAGUCUGUUUCCUUCUUCUCCAUUCCACAUAUUAUAAUGUGGCAACUACAUAACUCAUAAUUAUAGUCUUUAUAGGGGGAGAAUAAUUGACUCCAUUCAAGUGUUCGCUCCUGUUUCAAUCAACUAUGGCUGAAGAGUGAGGAGACAUUUGGAAUAAAUAUGGCUUCUGGGGGCCCAUUCCUAUGGAUCAGCAGCUGGCUUCUGGAGGCCCAUUCCUGUGAAUCGUCGAUCUCAUAGAAGAUAAUAUUGUUAGAAGGCUUACCUCAUUGAUGCUGAACAUCCUAAAAAGCUUCUGCUGCUUUGAGUCACUGAAAAAGACCAAGAAACAUGAAUUUAAAAAAAAAUUUCAAAUGUUAUAAAAUAAAUAAUAUGAACUCAUUAUACCUACAAUGAAUAA